AUGCUGCAGUUGGUCCGGGCCGGGGCGCGCACCUGGCUUCGGCCUACGGGCUGCAGGGGCUUGAGUUCGCUGGCGGAAGAGGCAGCGCAUCCUACCGAGAACCCGGAGCAGGUGGCGAGCGAGGGUCUCCCGGAGCCCGUGCUGCGCAAAGUCGAGCUCCCAGUACCCGCUCAUCGACGCCCGGUGCAGGCCUGGGUCGAGUCCUUGCGAGGCUUCGAGCAGGAGCGCGUGGGCCUGGCUGACCUGCACCCCGAUAUUUUCGCCACCGCGCCCAGGUGAGCGAGGACUGUAAUGGUGAACUGAGUGGCGGAGGGAUGAAGAGCGGAAGUUCAGGAGUCAGGAUGACUUUGGGCUUGUACCGUUGGAAAAGUGCUGGAUUUCUACAGCCUCCUUUUCUUCACCUGUCAAAGGGGGAUGAUGACAGUUUCCCCUUCUGUAGCGCUGUGUGAGAUUGAAGCCUGAGAGGUGACAUCUUCUAAGGGUUAGGGAGACAGAACUCUGGAGCCCGACUUAUUAGGUUCAAAUCCUGCCUUCACUUCUUGUGCCUCAGUGUCCCUAUUUUGUCAGCGCUCGGGAGGUUGCUGUGAUGAGUAAAUGACUUAAUUCUGGCACAUAAUAAGUUUUAUAGAAAUGCUGAUAAUCUUUGUUAACUGUUUUUUGCAAAUAAGAGCACUAAAGAGACUAAACCAUUCCUAGGUGCCUGGAAGAGGCUGUUUGCAUUUUAGUUAACCUGCUGUUCAUAACAUCUCUAAGAAAAUGUAGGGGCCAUGCUGGGCGCGGUGGCUCACGCCUGUAAUUCUAGCACUUUAGGAGGCCGAGACAGGCGGAUCACGAGGUCAGGAGAUCGAGACCAUCCUGGCUAACACGGUGAAACCCUGUCUCUACUAAAAAUACAAAAAGAAAUUAGCCGGGUGUGGUGGCGGUCGCCUGUAGUGCCAGCUACUCGGGAGGCUGAGGCAGGAAAAUGGCGUGAACCCGGAGGCGGAGCUUGCAGUGAGCCAAGGUCGUGCCACUGCACUCCAUCCUGGACGACAAAGCGAGACUCCGUCUCAAAAAGAAAAAGGGAAAAAUGUAGGGGCUGCCUGUGGCUCACAUCUGUGAUCCCAGCACAUUGGGAGGCCGAGGCCGGCGGAUCACUUGAAGCCAGGAGUUGGAGACCAGCCUGGCCAAUAUGGUGAAAGCCCGUCUCUACUAAAAAUACAAACAUUAGCCUGACAUGGUAGUGCAAGCCUGUAGUCCCAGCUACUCGGGAGGCUGAGGCAUGAGAAUCACUUGGGCCCCGGGGAGAUGGAGGUUGCAGUGAGCCGAGAUCAUACCACUGCUCUCCAGCUUGGGCAACAGAGAUGGACUCCAUCUCAAAAACAAAACAAAACAAAACAAAAAUAUAAACAAAAAACAGGUGGGCCGGGCGCGGUGGCUCAAGCCUGUAAUCCCAGCACUUUGGGAGGCCGAGACCGGCGGAUCACGAGGUCAGGAGAUCGAGACCAUCCUGGCUAACACGGUGAAACCCCGUCUCUACCAAAAAAAUACAAAAAUCUAGUCGGGUGAGGCGGCGGGCGCCUGUAGUCCCAGC
ensembl:lincRNA